rnacentral:lncRNA from 1 species
UAGACUAGGGCCUGGAAUACUUUUCUCUGGAGUGGGUGAGCUGAAAGGAAUUUUUGUGCUUUUAGCAUCAUCUAUUUGAUGGGAGAUAGUAUGAAGGACCUGAUUAGUAUAGUUGUUUUGUUCAACUAUCCUAUCUAGGUCUCUGUUGACAGGGGCUGAUUGGGGUCUAUCGUGCUUCUUCUUGAAGGGAGAAGCAUUGAGAAUUUCAUUGGAAUGGGGAAUUUUUAUUCCUUCAAGGGGAGGAGUAACUGAUUCAAUUACUUUGUUACUCUGAGUAUACCAUUUAUUAAUGAUAA